rnacentral:rRNA from 1 species
UACGUAGGGACCGAGCGUUGUUCGGAAUUACUGGCGUAAAGCGCGCGUAGGCGGCUGACCAUGUCAGGGGUGAAAUCCCGGGGCUCAACUCCGGAAUUGCCUUUGAAACGGGUCGGCUAGAGUCCGAGAGAGGAUGGCGGAAUUCCUAGUGUAGAGGUGAAAUUCGUAGAUAUUAGGAAGAACACCGGUGGCGAAAGGCGGCCGAUCCGUGGCGUCGG